UACGAGGGGGGCGAGCGUUGUUCGGAAUUAUUGGGCGUAAAGGGCGCGUAGGCGGUCGGAUAAGUCUUGUGUGAAAUCUUCGGGCUCAACUCGAAGUCUGCACAGGAAACUAUCUGGCUUGAGUGUGGGAGAGGUGAGUGGAAUUCCUGGUGUAGCGGUGAAAUGCGCAGAUAUCAGGAGGAACACCGGUGGCGAAGGCGGGUCUCUGGGCCGAUACUGACACUGAGGAGCGAAAGCGUGGGGAGCGAACAGG
rnacentral:rRNA from 1 species